rnacentral:rRNA from 1 species
GGACCCGCACAAGUAGUGGAGCAUGUGGUUUAAUUCGAAGAUACGCGCAGAACCUUACCAACACUUGACAUGUUCGUCGCGACUUUAAGAGAUUAAAGUUUUCGGUUCGGCCGGACGAAACACAGGUGCUGCAUGGCUGUCGUCAGCUCGUGUCGUGAGAUGUUGGUUAAGUCCCGCAACGAGCGCAACCCUCACUUUUAGUUGCCAUCAUUAAGUUGGGCACUCUGAAAGAACUGCCAGUGAUAAGCUGGAGGAAGGUGGGGAUGACGUCAAGUCCUCAUGGCCCUUACGUGUUGGGCUACACACGUGCUACAAUGGUAUCUACAACAGGAAGCAAGACGGCGAUGGGGAG